GGAACGAUGACCGCUGUGAUAUGUGCUUUAUUGACUUUCUAAAGUGGAACCCAGAGUCCGUGCAGCACAUUCAGAGGAGCCUUCAAGGGAAAAAAAGGUGAAGAACCCUUCAGGAGAGCAACAGAGGAGGAUCCCUCUCUAGGAUGGACAGAUGAAUCGAUGUCAUGUGACCAGAAGGAAUCAUUACAGAGUAACAACACAUCCAAUCAGUAUGACAGAGUGGAUGAACAGUACAAUGUCGCCUGACUUCCUCUGUGUCUGUCCUGCACGCUCAGUUAUUCAAAUGUUUUGUAAUAAUAAUAAUCUCAUAUGUAACAAUAGUGAAUGAGAACCGCCUAAAACCGGUUAUACUGUUGGCGGUUAUGCCGAUAUAAUAGAGUAUACUUAUUUAAAUUAUUUAAAUGGUUUAGUGUUGCAGGCCAGGGGAGAAUAGUGGUUUAAUCAUUUGACCCCUAGCAGGGGAAUUGGGUUCUAAAUAUGUUAACCUGCUUUUCUUUGGACCCUCUGUAGUUUACUUAGUGGUUGGAUAUAAGAGGUUUCAACAGUGAUGUGUCUGUCUGUUGUAUAUUCAGCUGAUAUUCUGUGAUCCACUUCCACUUCACUUGUCUUCUAUUUCUAUUGUGAUGUUUUCUAAGAAUAGCUUUGCUUCAGGAACUUGUUCCCGUAUACAAAUGUACACAUUUAGAUGCUAUGUUUGAUGUUUCUUCUGCCUCACAUGGUGAUUUCUUCUAUUCUGCCUCAACUGUGGCUCACAGGAUCGUUGACUCUUUCUGCACGUUUAAAUUGUCAGUCUGGUUUAACCGUUGUAAAGCAUUUUCUUUUGCAAACCGCUCAUACAAAAUCUAUUAAAGAGGACUUUGUUUACUCCAACCUAAAAGCACGAAAGACAAUUCAAAUCAAAACUAAAGUCCUGAUCAAAUCAAGAUGUUAUGACAGGUUGCCACAAACUUUUGAGCAGCAGUGUAACAUACAAAUAAGAAAACAAAUAAGACAGAAAAAUAAAAAUAAAUCUUGAUUUUUUUUAGUAUAAGCUUAAAGCUACUAUCAGUAAUGCAAAUUUUUUAGCAAGUAUAUUGGGCUUUAUAGGGUGUUUGCAUGCUUAAAUGUAUUAAUAAGCAAUAAACAUGAACUACGCUGA